rnacentral:rRNA from 1 species
UGAGGAAUAUUGGUCAAUGGGAGCAAUCCUGAACCAGCAAUGCCGCGUGUGGGAUGACAGGGCUUCGCCUUGUAAACCACUGUCGGACGGGACGAAAGGAGGCCACGGGCCUCUGGGACGGUACCGUCAAAGGAAGGGUCGGCUAACUACGUGCCAGCAGCCGCGGUAAUACGUAGGACCCGAGCGUUGUCCGGAUUUACUGGGUAUAAAGGGUGCGUAGGCGGCCUUGUGCGUCAGAGGUGAAAUAUCC